UUUUCGCGCUUGGGAGCGUGGAGAUCUGGAGGAGAAAGACAUUCGGGUAUUUGGGGUUUCCCAUCCAUCUGCUCACAUUCGAAAUCAAGGGUCCGUUUGAUAGAAACGAACAGCCUCGGAUAGCUUACUCGACGAUGGCCGACGACGGCGUGGUUUCUCACAAAAGAGACCCCAUUAAAUCCUCAGUUGGCAAUGUUGCGGGGCAUAGGAGACGGCAACAUGCAGUUACCGUGGGGAAAGAAAGAAGAGAAUCGCUGGUGCGAGCGAAGCGCCUGUGCAGAGAUGGGACUAGCAGUGACGUUGAUGUUCCUUUUGAUAAUGAUAUGAUAAUUGAGGAAGAGCAAUCAAUUUUGGAUGCUCAAACUUCUUCAGCAGUGGAAGAAUUGAAAUCUGCUGUUGCUUUCCAGGGAAAGGGUGCUAUGCAGAAGAGGGUUAGUGCCCUUCAGGAAUUAAGGCGCUUACUGUCAAGAUCUGAAUGCCCUCCAAUUGAAGCUGCUCUAGAAGCCGGAGCAAUGUCCCCAUUGGUGCAGUGUCUUACAUUUGGUUCGCCAGAUGAGCAGUUGCUCGAAGCAGCUUGGUGCCUUACAAACAUAGCUGCUGGAAAACCUGAGGAAACAAAAGCUCUGUUGCCUGCAUUACCAUUGCUUAUUGCUCAUCUUGGAGAAAAGAGUUCCUUGCCCGUGGCUGAGCAGUGUGCCUGGGCACUGGGAAACGUUGCUGGCGAAGGUGAGGAGUUGAGAAAUGUUUUGCUGUCCCAAGGAGUAUUACCACCUCUUGCAAGAAUGAUGCUACCAAACAAGGGCUCAACUGUGAGAACAGCUGCUUGGGCAUUGUCAAACUUAAUCAAGGGACCAGAUCCUAAAGCUGCUACAGAACUCAUUAGAGUUGAUGGAGUGCUGGAUGCAAUUCUUCGGCACUUGAAAAAAGCGGAUGAGGAGUUGGCUACCGAAGUAGCAUGGGUAGUUGUGUAUCUCUCAGCCCUUUCAAAUGUUGCUACCAGUAUGCUGGUGAAGAAUGAUGUUCUUCAACUACUUGUGCAAAGGUUGGCAACAUCAAAUAGUUUGCAAUUGCUCAUACCGGUGCUAAGAAGUCUAGGAAAUCUUGUAGCUGGUGAUUCGUACAUAACUUCCGCUGUUCUUGUCCCUGGACGUGAUAUUACAGGUAAUGUCAUUGAAGUCCUUGUUAAAUGUUUGAAGAGUGAGCACAGAGUUUUAAAGAAGGAAGCAGCUUGGGUGCUUUCUAACAUUGCUGCUGGUUCUGUUGAACACAAGCAAUUUAUUUAUGCCAGUGAGGCGGCAUCUUUAUUACUGCGCCUUCUUUCAACUGCACCAUUUGAUGUUAGAAAGGAAGUUGCUUAUGUCUUGGGCAACCUAUGUGUUGCCCCAGCAGAAGCUGAUGGAAAGCCAUACUUAAUCUUGGACCACUUGGUUUCACUUGUUGGUAGAGGAUGCCUCCCUGGUUUUAUUGAUUUAGUAAGGUCUGCUGAUACUGAGGCUGCAAGACUAGGACUUCAAUUCAUGGAGCUGGUUCUAAGGGGUAUGCCAAAUGGUGAGGGGCCAAAGCUUGUUGAGCGAGAGGAUGGGAUUGAUGCAAUGGAAAGAUUUCAAUUCCAUGAAAAUGAAGAUCUUAGAAAUAUGGCAAAUGGUCUUGUAGACAGAUACUUUGGGAAGGACUACGGACUUGAUGAUUAAUCAUUAGGCACCCAGCUGCGCUGGAGCCAAAAUCCUCGCUAUUUUCUAUCGAUAGACUGCUUCCAAGGAUGAGGAACAAGCCAAGUUGGAGGAGCUUUCGUCUUUUCCAUCUUAUACUCAUCAGGACCAGAACAUUGAAGUAUAUCCCACACUUGAAGAAAAGCAUCCACAUCCAAUACAUAAAGCAAAUUUUCAUGGCAGAUGAUAUCUUCAUAGCUUUCAGAGAUUUCUUGCUUACUAUCAAGUGCAGUCCAUGAGUCCUCACCUUUUCUAUAGAAUGCCAACUUUGAAGAUUGUCCGUAGAUUAAUGCCACAUAAUAGUCCUCAUUAGACGGAUAGGAUGAUGAUAGUACAGCUUUGCUAACAAUUUUUCUUCUAGACCCUCCUAUCCUUUGAAUCCCCAAAGAAGACCCAAUUUGGGGAAGUUGAAUUUGAUCACAAUUGAAAGGAUUAAAGAGAGAAGGAAAAAAGUCUUGGUCUAGACAUACUAACCAUCCAUGGGAAGACCCAAUCACACAGCAAAAGCUCUCACCACUACUCAUCUCCUUAGCUGCUGAUCCAUUGUUGAAUGUAUAAAACCUUUUUUCUUCAAGCUUCAUGAAUUGAGUGAACAUGCUUGUUUUCUCAGAUUCUUCUUCUUCAUGUUCUUUUGGGGGAAAGACAAGCCAAGGUGCUUCCUUGGACAAUGAUGUUUUUCGUGCUGAAUGUCUCUGCUGUCUUGUUCCACCAUGAACAAACUGCUUUGGCGCGAUAGAUGUCGAUAAAGGACAAGUGUUUGAAGAUUGAUUCAAGAAGAAAUUCAUUGUGACUAGCCCAGUCGCAUGAUGAAGGCCUUGUGUGUAUCAGUGUCUCCAUUAAUAUAGAGAAUGCAGAGAGAGAGCUCUCUUGACUUGAUUUCUUGUGAAACAAACUCAGAAUAAAGAUAACCUAUAUAUACAUACACAGGAGGCCAUAUCCUCCUACUCGGAAUGUAGCUGAUGGUUAGGUGUCCUGCAAGAACAUCGUGUGUUUGUUUUCUUAUCAAAUAACAAAAACGAAAAUAAUAUAGAUAUCAGCUAGUUAUACCAA